GACCCAGGGCGGAGUGGUCCGCACCCACACCCUGUUUUUAUAGCUGAUAUAUUAUAGUGGGUGUCCCUGGUUCGAACCCAGGCUGGGUCA